UGCCAGUAGUCAUAUGCUUGUCUCAAAGACUAAGCCAUGCAUGUCUAAGUAUAAAUGUUAUACAGUGAAACUGCGAAUGGCUCAUUAAAACAGUUAUAGUUUAUUUGAUAAUCGAAUCUACAUGGAUAACCGUGGUAAUUCUAGAGCUAAUACAUGCUGGUUAGCCUGACUUUUGAGGAAGGGCUGUAUUUAUUAGAUAACAAAAUCAAUAUUCCCCGUGUCUAUUGUGAUGACUCAUAAUAACUGAUCGAAUCGCAUGGGCUUUGCCCGCGAUACAUCAUUCAAGUUUCUGCCCCAUCAGCUUUCGAUGGUAGUGUAUUGGACUACCAUGGCUUUCACGGGUAACGGAGGAUUAGGGUUCGAUUCCGGAGAGGGAGCCUGAGAAACGGCUACCACAUCUAAGGAAGGCAGCAGGCGCGUAAAUUACCCAAUCCUGACUCAGGGAGGUAGUGACAAGAAAUAACGGACCGAAGCUUUUGUUUCGGGAUUGCAAUGAGUAGAAUUUAAACCCCUUUACGAGGAUCAAUUGGAGGACAAGUCUGGU
rnacentral:rRNA from 1 species